AUUGAACGCUGGCGGCAGGCCUAACACAUGCAAGUCGAACGAGUGGCGGACGGGUGAGUAAUGUCUGGGCAACUGCCUGAUGGAGGGGGAUAACUACUGUAAACGGUAGCUAAUACCGCAUACCAUCAGAUGUGCCCAGAUGGGAUUGGCUAGUUGGUGGGGUAACGGCUCACAAAGGCGACGAUCCCUAGCUGGUCUGAGAGGAGGACCAGGCACACGGGAACUGAGACACGGUCCAGACUCCUACGGGAGGCAGCAGUGGGGAAUAUUGCACAAUGGGCGAAAGCCUGAUGCAGCAAUGCCGCGGGUAUGAAGAAGGCCUUCGGGUUGUAAAGUACUUUCAGCGGGGAGGCGUUACCCGCAGAAGAAGCAACGGCGAACUCCGUGCCAGCAGCCGCGGUAAUUC
rnacentral:rRNA from 1 species